GUCGCUGCCUGCCGCGCAGCGCCUGUUGUACCUCGAAGCCUUUGUUUUUAUUCUGGCGAAGCAAGCAAGCGCUGGAGACUGGACUCGAGUUAAAGACCUCAAGCUUCUCACGCACAUAAGUGAACCAACUAUGAAGAAAAACACGGGCUUGAUGAUGACGGCUGCGUACGCCAAGUACCACCAUUGUGGCGAACGUGACGUUGUAGACGUUUCCCAGAUACUUGAUUUCGAGCCAAAGCACCCCGCGGACCUCAACGCACGCCACUUGUACAAGAUAUAGUGAGAACCGAAAGAGGACGACGAAUACCUUGGCGAGCCUGGUUAUUACAAAGGACAAGUGUUACUUUUGGCAGCGUCGGAGGAGGAACUUCAACAGAAAAUUGCAAAGAAGCGGAUUCCGACACCAAAAGUUGUAGACAUCGUGUCAGACAGCGGUUGUGAAGAUAAACAGGCCACU